rnacentral:lncRNA from 10 species
ACAUAUCUAUAUUUUCUGGAUGUUCCAGAUUAUUUAUAGACAUUUCUUUUAUAAUAAUCCCAAAUUGGAAACAGUCAAAAUGUUCAUCAUCAGGAGAACAGAUAAACAAAUUGUAUCUUCAUUCAAAUUCAUUCAAUAUUAAACAAAAAUUAAAGUGAUACAUACAACUGCAUAAAUUUAAGUUAAUGAAGAUAACUUGAGCCAAAUAAACUGCCCACAAGGAAAUUAAUGUUUAUAUUAUGUGAUUAUAUUUAUAAGAAGUUCUAAAAUAAGCAAUAUUAAUCUAUCUUAACAGAAUUUAGAGGAAUGAUUAUGAAGGCAGGUGGGAGAAUUGAAUGGCAAGGGUAUAACAAAAUCCCUAGGUUAAACAAAAUACUCUGUUUCAAUCUGGGUGGUUGUUACCCAGGUGUAGACAUAUACUGUAUAAUAUUCACUAAGAUGUACAAUUAGGAAUUACGCAUUUUGUUUUUGUAAACUGUUCUCAAUUAUUUUAAAGGAAAGGGAGAAAAAGAACAACAGCAACAACAACAAAAGCAGCCUCCUGCCUGAGAAGUCUCUUGUAAAUAAGAAGUGGAAAAGAACAGAAGAAAAGCAGGAAUGACAAGAUCAAGUUCCAAAAAGGCUUGAAUACAUGGGAAUUUAUUAUUAGCUACCUUGAUCUGCAAAAACAGAGAGGAUAUAUGCUUCCAGAAAGAGAAAAUGACUGAUUUUAUAAGAGGAAUUUAGCUGCUUGAGCUCAGUAUAUCACCUCCAUUUAUUCUCAGCAUGCCAUCAGCAAAUAGCUAUCUGUUCUCAAAGGAAGUAAUAACUUGAAAGUAAUCUUCAUAAACUUUUUUUAUGCUAUUCUAUGCUAUGUGAUGUAAAGGUACUUUAAAGGAAUAAGGUGGCAUGAGAAAAGAAUAUUUAGGGAUAUCAGAAAACUAUCCCAAGAAACGGAAAAUUGUCAAGAAAUAAUUCUAUAGAUUCUCAAAGAAACUAAUGGCAAGAUGGUUUUAUUAAAAAAAGAUGAAAGUAGAGCUACCAAGCAAAGAGAAUCUAGGAAACAAACAUAUAAAUGCAAUUUUAUUAACUUACAGCCAUUAUGAAGCCUCCACAAGAAAGAAAAAUACAACUGAAGCCUUGCUAGGAAAAUUGAAGUCAAUCUUGAAGGAAAUACAAAGGGCCUCUGAGAAGCAUCAAGAAAUAAUUAACAGUUGUUGAUAGUUAACUUUAGGUGUCAACUAAACUGGAUAAUGGAAUAUCUAGAGAACUGUUUUCAGAUACCUGGCCUUGGAAUGAAACUUACACCAUCAGCUUUCCUGGUCCUGAGGCCUUUGUACUUGGACUGAUCCACACUAUAAGCAUCCCCAGGUCUUGAAUGCAGAGAGUCAUGGGAUUUCUCAUCCUCCAUAAUCAUGUAAGCCAAUUAUUUUAAUAAAUCCCCUUUCAUGUAUCUAUAUCUAUCUAUCCUAUUGGUCCUGUGUCUCUGGAAAACCCUGACUCAUACAGCAGUGCAAAGAUUUUAUGAGGAGGCAUGCUACCAUAAGACAAAAAAUGGAAAGGGGUUCUGGAAUGAUGAAAGAACAGUCAGACUUCAAUGCAAGUAUACCCAUAAAUAAAAGAAAGAACAUAAAAUUGGAUGGACACAUCCUAGAUUGCCAGGUUGUCUAAUAAAUGAUUGGUUUGGGUGUCACUGCUCUUUUUUGAAAGUGACCAGAGGAGUUUGGUGUGUCCCAGGAGUUGACUUGCCUUAGUACACUCCCUCCACAUUUUGUAAUUAGCUGGUAGCAGUGUGGGGGAGGCAUGGGUGCAAACAGUGUAAUAGAUUUCAGAGAGCUGCCGAUGGAGACUCUUGUAAAUUGCACUUCUAGUAGGUGGAGAAUGGAGGUGCAUUAUCCUCCAAACUAGACUAUAUAUAUAUAUA